rnacentral:rRNA from 1 species
UACGUAGGCAGCGAGCGUUGUUCGGAGUUACUGGGCGUAAAGCGUGCGUAGGCGGUGGUCCAAGUCUGGUGUGAAAUCUCCCGGCUUAACUGGGAGGGUGCGCCGGAAACUGGGCCGCUUGAGUGCGGGAGAGGAAAGCGGAAUUCCUGGUGUAGCGGUGAAAUGCGUAGAUAUCAGGAGGAACACCGGCGGUGUAGACGGCUUUCUGGACCGUAGCUGACGCUGAGACACGAAAGCGUGGGUAGCAAACAGG